rnacentral:lncRNA from 1 species
GAGAUGGGUUUCUGGACUCGCGAAGCAGCUGCAACAAGGCAUCACUCACUGUAUAAGUAUUUCCAUUUCUGAGAGCAAAAGGAAGAACUUAAGCGGGCGGCACUUGGAGUGUAAAUUGCUUUGUAGUAUUUAAAGGCAGAAUGGAUCCUGGGCAGCCGAGCUGCAACAAACCGGCAGGACUUCCUGUGAAAUCAUGACCACCAUGUGCUCUUUCAGCCUCUAUCAGUUCCUACCUCUAAGCACCUGAGAGCCAAAGCAAACCACAGGAAACCACAGGCCUUUGGAGUCAGACUGGAACUACAGCAUUGACUCUUCCGGAACUCCAGCUUACUGACUACAGAUCUUGGAACUUUUCAGCUUCCACAACCAUAAUGAAAGCCAAGCAUAUUCCAUCAUUUCCUAAAACCAAGAUAGAGCACAUAUGGGAACUUGUGAAAUAAGGAUGCCCUGCGGUUGUUUUCAGGACUGAAGACAACAGCUCCACGAUGUAUCUUUGCAUAAGAAUACACUUGUAUAAUAAGUUUUUUUUUUUAGAGAAAUUGCAUGUAUCUGCCUUAUAAACUUUUUCAUUCAUUCAUUUUCUUUCUUCCUAAUCUGUUCCAUAAAGCAAAUUUCUAACUUAUUGUUAAUCAAAAUAAUUAUUGAAAUAAUUAGUACUUUCAUAUGAUAAAGAUUAUUUUAAUCUGCAGCUACAAAAUAUGUAACUCAUUAAUAUUUAAACAAUCACAAUUUUCUAUUAACAUUAUAGCAUUUUAUCUACUACUAGAUCAGGAAUUAGCUAUUUUUUGUAAAAUUUCUUUGUAAGGCAAAGCAAUAGUAUUGUAUAUACUUUCCUAAAGAUUGUCAAGUUCAGUUUUGCUUAAAUUUAACAGUACAUGUGACACUUUCUGUUUGAAGAAUAAGUUGGUUUUAAGUUUAUACCAAACAAAAGCAUCUCUUUUGUUUUGCAAAAUCUGAAACUUUGAUCUUUCUAGUUGUGACUUCUUGUAAAUAUGUUUUAUAUAAAUAUUCUAUGAAUUGGUUAUUAACAAGGUAAAGAAAGAUUGAUAUGUAAGCUGAUUCUUAAACAUUAAUUUUCUGGAGAUAAACUUUUUUAAAAUUAUGCUUUAAAAAUAUUUUAACACAUGUUAUCAAAAAGGAACUGAAAUAUCUUAGGCAUAAAAGACAUCUCUAGAGGUCAUUAUUCAGUUUCCAGAAAGUACUGAAACUAUCUCUGACAGAUUGAUACGUUUUCUGCAUUUAUAGCUCUCUGGAGAGAGGUUCUGUAUAUUUAACAAUUCUCACUGUGAGGGAUAUUUUAAGUAUUUCAAAUUUAAAGUGCUCAUGUUUCAGAUUCAGAUUAUUAUUAUCAUCAUCAUUAUUUUGGUUCUGGCUUCAGUAAAAAUGUGAAAAACACUUUUCCAUCUUCUGAUAAUAUUUCAUAUUUAUAAAAUUAUUAUUAAGUUAUAACUCAGCUUUUUCAUUUAUGCUUUAAAUCCUUUUAUUAUCUCAUCACAACCAUCUUUGACUGUUUAUCAGAAAUGGUUCUCUUUUGUACAUUGACCAUUAUUUUAUAGAUCACAUUUAAGUUAAUAUAAAUCAUGCCUAUAAA